AUUAAUCUAUAGGAAAGAUGGAAGAGAGGAAAGUAGACAGAGGCCAGUGCGGUCCUGAGGAUCCCAAUUUAAGCAGCUGUGUAACAAACCUGACAGUCCCUGUGACCAGCUCUGAGAGAGAGAUCUGACACCCUUUUUUGUCCUCCAUGUACUUGCACACGUAAAUGAAACAAAUCUAUUUAGUGUAAUAGAAAAGAGAACCUGUGGAGAUAAAAGGAUCACUCCCAUGGUGCUGGCUGGUGGAGUCAGGCCUGUGUGCCUCUGAGGAGGGAGGAAUGGGGAGGGAUGGCAAACAGCAAACCCCUAUGCCUGGGCUGUAUGUGGAUAAAGUUAGUGCUGAUGGAGAAGUGGAAAAGUCACCUCAGUGGGCUAGAAGUCCUUUGUAGGUGUUGGGCUGAGGUGAGGGUAGGUGGGGUGUGCUCAGCCAGACUCUUGGUGUGAGUGACACCAUCUGGAGGUGUGGCCUGGUUAGAAUAGGUGUGUCACUGUGGGUGUGGGCUUAAGACUCUCAUCCUAAUUGCCUGGAAGUCAGUCUUCCACUAGCAGCCUUUGGAUGAAGACAUAGAACUCUCAGCUCCUCCUGUACCAUGCCUGCCUGGGUACUGCUAUGCUCCCACCUUGAUGAUAAUAGACUGAACCUCUGAACCUGUAAGCCAGUCCCAAUUAAAUGUUUUUUUAUAAGACUUGCCUUUCUGCCUUCCAAGUCCUGGUAUCAAAGGCAUGUGCCACCAGGCCUAGCUCUUUAUGUUAGUUUAAAUUUAAAUUUCUUGAAACAUUUUGAGGUCCUGCAUGUGUUUUUACUUCAGAUAAUGUUUCAUGUGCCUACAGUCACUGAAUAGAGGUUUUCUAGUGUCAGGUCAGUGUGGUUGAUGGUUUAAUUGUCUGUUGUUUUUGGACUCAGCAUCCUAUCAGAUGUUAAAGUCUCCGCCAUUGCCAUGUGCCUGUAUUUAUCACAUUUGCCAGAUAUUGCUUUCUGAGUUUUAAGGUUCAGUUAUUAAUUGCAUAUAUUUGUGAUUAUUGUGUCUUCCUUAUAUAGUUGUGGAUUCAUUGUUAUAGAAAGUCUUUAUGCCUUUAGUAAUAUCUUCCUCCAGCUUGUUUUAUUUAGACAUUAGUAUAGACAUUUCAGUGCCUAUGUUUAUUGUUUACCUGGUAUGUCAUUUCCUGUUAGAAUCAAGAUGGACCUCUGAUAGACUGGGUUUAGUUCAGUAUGAUCCUUCAUCCACUCAGACAAUCUCUUUCUUUUGAGUGGAAUUCAUUCACAUUUAAUAAAUUCAUUGAUU
rnacentral:lncRNA from 1 species